UGUUGCCAGCCUGUAUGGCUCUAGUUGGUCUCCUUAGAAGUUUAUGGGAGCAUUGCCAUUACAUACUGAUGAAAGCAGAGUUGUAUCCUUUUUAUUUUUGCUGAUAUGUGCUUGGUAAAAAUCUUUGUCCUUCCUUUCACAGGUGAUAGGUGAUACUCAUAGAUGACUAGCAGGAAUAUGCAAGCGUUUCUUAUGAAAGGCAGAUGGAUUCAGAAUCGUGAACAAGCACUUUCAAAGGGUUAAUUGAAAUUGUGAUCUUCUGCAAUGGUGAAGAAACAAGGGGUGUGCAAACUUUUAUGGGAGAGGCUGCAAGAUGAACACCCUGACAGAGUGUUAGAGUUAGGGAGUGACACGGAGGAACUGACCUGCACACGGAGGGAGUUUUCCAGGCUGAAAUUCUGAUGCUCAAGGAAGCGUGAACAUCAGAGAUGCUGCUAGGUAAGUCUGACACAAAUUAUCCAGUCACACACACUACUCAGAAAUGUCUCAUUUCCUUUCUGGCUUUCACUGGGAAAAUAAGAACUAUGCAUCUUA
rnacentral:lncRNA from 1 species